AACGAACGCUGGCGGCAUGCCUAACACAUGCAAGUCGAACGAGACCUUCGGGUCUAGUGGCGCACGGGUGCGUAACGCGUGGGAACCUGCCCUUAGGUUCGGAAUAACUCCCCGAAAGGGGUGCUAAUACCGGAUAAUGUCUUCGGACCAAAGAUUUAUCGCCUUUGGAUGGGCCCGCGUUGGAUUAGCUAGUUGGUAGGGUAAAAGCCUACCAAGGCGACGAUCCAUAGCUGGUCUGAGAGGAUGAUCAGCCACACUGGGACUGAGACACGGCCCAGACUCCUACGGGAGGCAGCAGUGGGGAAUAUGGGACAAUGGGCGAAAGCCUGAUCCAGCAAGGCCGCGUGAGUGAUGAAGGCCUUAGGGUUGUAAAGCUCUUUUACCCGGGAUGAUAAUGACAGUACCGGGAGAAUAAGCGCCGGCUAACUCCGU
rnacentral:rRNA from 1 species